AGCAGCCGCGGUAAUUCCAGCUCCAAUAGCGUAUAUUAAAGUUGUUGCAGUUAAAAAGCUCGUAGUUGAAUUUCGGGAUCAAUAUAUCGGUCGUGCCUUGGUACGUACUGGUAUCAUUGGUUUCUCCUUCCUGACGAACCAUGAUGUCAUUAAUUUGGUGUUAUGGGAAGUUAGGACUGUUACUUUGAAAAAUUAGAGUGUUUAAAGCAGGCUUUGGCUUGAAUACAUUAGCAUGGAAUAAUGAAAUAGGACGUUCGAACCUAUUUUGUUGGUUUCUAGGAUCAACGUAAUGAUUAAUAGGGAUAGUUGGGGGCAUUAGUAUUCAAUUGUCAGAGGUGAAAUUCUUGGAUUUAUUGAAGACUAACUACUGCGAAAGCAUUUGCCAAGGAUGUUUUCAUUAAUCAAGAACGAAAGUUAGGGGAUCGAAGACGAUCAGAUACCGUCGUAGUCUUAACCAUAAACUAUGCCGACUAGGGAUCGGAUGAUGUUAAUUUUUAAUGACUCAUUCGGCGCCUUACGG
rnacentral:rRNA from 1 species